rnacentral:ncRNA from 1 species
UUACACACUAUAAAAAGGAAAGUAGAACUUACACUGCUUUUACAGAGAGUCUUCGUUAGCUGAGAGAAGGUAUUGAAAGAAAGUUUGAAAAUGGCCUUGGAGUGUUGAUGCCAAUAUGAGGUAUCAACGGGUUCGCCCGUUAUAGCGAUACAGUAUUAACAUUGUAGUUGAAUGGCGUACUGGAAUUCAUUACCAUCGUCACAACGUAUCGUUAAUACUCAUUUAUUCUUCCUAAGACUAAAUGAGUUUUUUAUUUGGCUCAAUGAUUUAACAUAACGAUAAUGCUUGUGAUUAAAGUUAACACUUCCAUAAAUAGACGUUGUUCAAACAUAAUGGCGUACUGGUAGAGGUCACUUUAGCAAUAAAGUGACAAACAAAGGUGGUACCGCGAAACUUAAGCUUUCGUCCUUUAC